UACGUAGGGGGCAAGCGUUGUCCGGAAUCAUUGGGCGUAAAGCGCGUGUAGGCGGUCCGGUAAGUCCGCUGUGAAAGUCGGGGGCUCAACCCUCGAAUGCCGGUGGAUACUGUCGGGCUAGAGUGCGGAAGAGGCGAGUGGAAUUCCUGGUGUAGCGGUGAAAUGCGCAGAUAUCAGGGGGGAACACCUAUUGCGAAGGCAGCUCGCUGGGACGUUACUGACGCUGAGACGCGAAAGCGUGGGGAGCAAACGGG
rnacentral:rRNA from 1 species